AAGUUAUAACAAGGUCUCUGUUAGUGAACUAGCAGAGGGAUUAUUAUAGAGUUGCAAAACUCCUAUCACCAUUGCGAACUUACCUUACACCCGUUGCUUUGGCAGGCGGCCCUAGGCUUCUGUUUUCACAGAUCCUUAGGGCCCUAUAGCCUGAUUGUCAGGUGCCUGCCAGAGGUCAUGCAACUAGACAUUGUUUAUAGCCUGUUAGAAUUUGUACUACCAAUUAGUUAAAACUUUCAACAACGGAUCUCUUGGUUCUA
rnacentral:misc_RNA from 1 species